CAAGCACAGCACAUCCUACAACAAGCACAGCACGUACUACUACAACAGCCACCACAGCACAUCCUACAACAACAACGACAACAACAACAACUACCACAGCACAAACUACUACAACCACCAGAGCACAUCCUACUACAACAGCCACGACAAGUAUUUCCAUUGUAACCUCUACUCUGCCAGAUAUCAGAAGUAUGUCAGGACAUGUCUCGUGGCUUUCAGUAGUGCUGGUUUUCACUGGUGUUGGUUUAUUUCUGUCUGGACUCAUGGGAUUCAUCUGUCUCUGCCACUUUGACAGUUCUGAUGAUCUUCUCACAGAGGUGAACUACAGCUCCUGCCAGGUGGAAACAACAUCUCUGUUAACUUCCUCUGUGUGCUCCAAAAAACAUGGAUGAACCGCUUCAUUUCUUCACUUGGUGCACCUCUAAAGAGAAAAAAUUAUUAGUUCAGAAAUAAUGAUAGUAGCCUAUAUUUACAUUAUUUAGCUACUGAAUUCAUUAACUGUAGCUGAAAGCAUCUUCAAGUCAUCUGUAGUAUUUAGUGAUGCAGAUUUAGUGACAGAUAUUAAGCAUCAAAAAUAUUAAAUCAAAAUUUUUGUGCCUUGCUUAUUCAGUUUGUAUUCACUGUAAAAAAAAUUAUUGAAAUUUUAACUGUAAAAAUGCUACAGUAGAAAACUGUUAAUUGUUUAACUGUAAGUUCCUUACUAUGUAUAGGGGGAAAAUUCUAAUAGAUCUAACAUAUAAUAAACAACAUCUGCAAAGUUACAACGCUCAAAGUUCAAUGCAAAGGGAGAUAUUUUCUUUUAAAGAAUUCUCUGUUUCACUUUAAGAUAGUUACCUCCAUAUCAGCUACAUAAAUUCACCAACUAACCAUUCAGAAACGUCCUGUUGCAUUCUACAUGUCACUUCUUCCUGAUUCUCUAUAAUUGUCCGCUGCUUGUUUGAAACGGUUUCUGACAUUUUAAGUGAGUCUGCAUGAGAUAAUUAGUGCUGCUAACAGGAACUCUUGAAACUCCACCCUCUUCUUGAGAGCAGCAGCUAAUUUGCAUUUAAAGGGACACACACAAAAACUGAGCUUUUUUGCUCACCCUCAAAAAGUGACAAAUUUAAGAUGCUAUAAAAAAUAUCUGAGGUAUUUUGAGCUAAAACUUCACAUACACAC